rnacentral:rRNA from 1 species
GACGAACGCUGGCGGCGUGCCUAACACAUGCAAGUCGAACGGAGUUAAACGCUGAAUUGAAGAUAGCUUGCUAUAAGAUUUUCUUGUUUAACUUAGUGGCGGACGGGUGAGUAACGCGUGAGCAACCUGCCUUACAGAGGGGGACAACAGUUGGAAAUGACUGCUAAUACCGCAUAAGCGCACAGUGCUGCAUGGCACAGUGUGAAAAACUCCGGUGGUAUGAGAUGGACCCGCGUCUGAUUAGCUAGUUGGUGGGGUAACGGCUACCAAGGCGACGAUCAGUAGCCGGCCUGAGAGGGUGAACGGCCACAUUGGGACUGAGACACGGCCCAA